AGUGAAGGAGACAUCGACAAACUGCAGAUAACAAAACAUUCUGCUGCUGGAGGCACUCAACCGCCUGGUGGCAGUAGGCGAGCGCCAGGCACGUGCUCUUGAGAGUGUGGCAGAGGUCCAGAGGGCUGCUCUGCAACAGUAGUAUUGGUGCCCUCACUGCUCUCCUGUCGAGCCCACAGAAGGCACCUUAUAAAGGAGCUUUCAGUUUAAUAUUUUGUUUAUUAUUCAAGAACAUGAAUAAAAUUAUUGCAGUAAA
rnacentral:lncRNA from 1 species